CGGGGGGGCGAAGCGUUGUUCGGAAUUACUGGGCGUAAAGGGUACUGUAGGUGGCUUGCUAAGUCAGACGUGAAAUCCCUCAGCUUAACUGGGGAACUGCGUCUGAGACUGGCGAGCUUGAGGGCAGGAGAGGAACGCGGAAUUCCAGGUGUAGCGGUGAAAUGCGUAGAUAUCUGGAGGAACACCGGUGGCGAAGGCGGCGUUCUGGACUGCAUCUGACACUGAAAGACGAAAGCCAGGGGAGCAAACGGGAUUAGAUACCCCGGUAGUCCUGGCCCUAAACGAUGAAUGCUUGGUGUGGCGGGUAUCGAUCCCUGCCGUGCCGUAGUUAACGCGAUAAGCAUUCCGCCUGGGGAGUACGGUCGCAAGGCUG
rnacentral:rRNA from 1 species